GAUUAACGCUGGCGGCGUGCUUAACACAUGCAAGUCGAACGAGAAGCUUUCUAAUGAUUUCUUCGGAAUGAAUCUGGAAGUGGAAAAUGGCGAACGGGUGAGUAACGCGUGGGUAACCAACCUUAAACUGGGGGACAACACAGGGAAACUUGUGCUAAUACCGCAUAUAUGUGGACAUGGCAUCAUGAUUACAGGAAAGGCUUCGGCCGGUUUAAGACGGACCCGCGUCCGAUUAGUUUGUUGGUAGGGUAAUGGCCUACCAAGACUACGAUUGGUAGCCGGGCUGAGAGGCUGAACGGCCACAUUGGGACUGAGACACGGCCCAG
rnacentral:rRNA from 1 species